UACGCACCACCACUGCAGUUUCGAAGCUCCAUCGAAGCUCCAGAUCUGAACUCUGACCCCUCGAUUACUCGCAUUUCAAGUAAUAUGCACAUUUCGACCCAAUUCUUCCUUUCCCAAGCCGCUCGACUCGGUACACUUUCGGGAUUUUCAGGGCAACAAAUUAACUGGUCAAAUUCCUGAUGAGAUAGGCAACUGUGUUUCUCUGAUGCUAGUGGAUUUAUCUGAUAAUUUACUGUAUGAAGAUAUACCAUUCUCAAUAUCCAAGCUUAAGCAGCUUGAGUUAUUGAAUUUGAAGAACAAUCAAUUGACUGGUCCUAUCCCUUCAACAUUAACACAGAUUCCCAACCUCAAAACUCUGUGAGUCAUAAUUUUUUUAUUUUUUUAUUUUUUAGUGGAGUCCAUGCAGUUAACAUUACCAUAUGCUUUUUUGAUUUUAUUUACACCAAAGCCAUAGACACUUGUGCUAAUAUAUAUGUAUGCCUUGUCUU